CAGCCGUAAACUAUGCGCAUUAGGUGUAUCGGUGACCACGAGUCACCGAGGUGCCGAAGGGAAACCGUGAAACGUGCCGCCUGGGAAGUACGGUCGCAAGGCUGAAACUUAAAGGAAUUGGCGGGGGGAGGCACAACAACGGGUGGAGCCUGCGGUUUAAUUGGACUCAACGCCGGACAACUCACCGGGGACGACAGCAAUAUGUAGGCCAGGCUGAAGACCUUGCCUGAAUCGCUGAGAGGAGGUGCAUGGCGUAGACGUCU
rnacentral:rRNA from 1 species